rnacentral:rRNA from 1 species
AUAUUGCAAAAUGGGCGAAAGCCCGAUGCAGCAACGCCGCGUGGGCGAUGAAGGCCUUCGGGUCGUAAAGCCCUUUUUGAGGGGAUGAGGAAGGACAGUACCCUCAGAAUAAGCCUCGGCUAACUACGUGCCAGCAGCCGCGGUAAAACGUAGGAGGCGAGCGUUAUCCGGAUUUACUGGGCGUAAAGCGCGUGCAGGCGGAUUGGAGAGUUGGAUGUGAAAGCUCCCGGCUUAACUGGGAGAGGUCGUUCAAUACUUCCAUUCUUGAGUGCAGUAGAGGGAAGUGGAAUUCCGGUUGUAGUGGUGAAAUGCGUAGAUAUCCGGAGGAACACCAGUGGCGAAAGCGGCUUCCUGGACUGUAACUGACGCUCAGACGCGAAAGCUAG